AGAUUUUGCCCUCUGGCUUUCCAUGUUUGUGGCGAGGGGCUUGUCCAAAGCUGCAGUGAGCGCUAACCUGGGGUCUCUGGCAAGGAGCCUGGGUGCUGCUUUUGGAGGGCACUGUUGGCUAUCUGCAGCAACGCCGCGCAGGUGGGCAGCGUGCUGCUCUCAGGUGCCAGCACACCCAGCCACGCGUAGUUACGCGCUUUCAUUGCCAGGUUAAGAGUGUUUUUUUGGUUUUGUUUUUUAAUUACUGUCUGGCGCUCUACCUAAUCACCUGUACAUAAUGAAGGCCUCUGCUGCUGGCCCUGACUUGCUUUGUCUGCAGGAAAUUUGGGGUGUCGCGUCUCCUCAUCUGCCUCCUGCUGAAAACCAAUUCUGUGGGGUGAUCGCUCAGCCCGUUGGGGGCUCAUGGUCUUGGUUUUGGGGUGUCUUUUCCCCUUUUAACCCGUUGUAUCCUAAAUGCGGGUCCAUUGCAUGUACAGAUGGAGAGCAGCAAAUGAGGGAGAGGUGUUGCAGAACCAGCCCACCAAUGUGUGCCACUCACCCACACACAUGGGGAGAGGGAAAGAUUAAAAGAUUAAAGUUACAAACUAAAAACCGCCCCAGGCUACCGCUGAGAUCUGAGUGACUGCCUGCGCAGCCAAACUCCCACUCCGGAGGUGCCGCGCCACGCUCGCUGUCACUCACUCCACACUUGCUUUCUCCCGCCAUCCCUUCCUGCCACUGGCUUUGCUAUUUUUACAGACCCCAGAAUUAAAUAAUAAUUUAGUCUGGCUACAAAGGAGGAUCCUGAGCAACUCCUGGGCAUCGCCUGGGGGCUCGUGGGGGUAGUUUUCCACCCCUCAUUGCACUCCUGGACCCUGGAGACUCCUCUGGCAGCCUUCUCCUGUGCCUCACUUGCCCACAUGGCAGCCAGUUUUGGUUCAGUUGCUGCCCAGGACUGGCGUGGGAGGGACGGCAAUUCACAGCCCAUAGAACUUCGGUAACAACGUGGGGAAGUCUGUAAGGUCUUUAAUGCUCUCCCUUCCCUCCAGAGAGAUGUCAUGCAAGCCUUACCCUAUCAAGCUUACAGUGAAGCGUGCCUACAGUUUUAUAUUCCUUCCUGCCAUUUGUUAGUGUUUUCUCACUUUUUUUUUUCUAUAUCUUCACUAGGAAUGGACGAAGCAUGGCCAUUUUGGUUUUACAGCUGAACAGUACAGAAGUAAAACUGAGGCCUGGGCUCUCCGAAACAGAUACUAGUGCUGCGCCUGCGUUGACAGCACAUCAAAGAGUCAGACUGUGCUGGCGAGGUCUGUGCUCUGAGCAGGGAAGGAUCCGUUCCUGCAGAGAGGCUCCCUGCUCUCAGCUCCACAAAGAGCCCUCUGUGGCAGAAACUCUUCAGCAGCCAUGUCUAGGGAGGGUCCUUCAGGAGUGGCAGAACGUGCCUGCCCGGAGGCCUGCGCAUACUGUGAAUAAACCCAUUUCUCACUCUUUAGAGGUCACCGGGAACCACAUCACUUCAACUAACCAGAAUUUUAAGCAGUGACUACUUUCUCUUCUGUGUAUAAAUGAUACCCAGCUCCCCUGUGACAGUGGUAGAAAAGCUCCCGCAGAAGGCUGGUUGGGUUUCCUUGGGUGUAAGGGCACGAGUGCUAU